UACAGAGGGUGCGAGCGUUAAUCGGAAUUACUGGGCGUAAAGCGCGCGUAGGCGGCUUUGCAAGUCGGGUGUGAAAUCCCCAGGCUUAACCUGGGAACUGCAUUCGAGACUGCAUUGCUAGAGUAUGGGAGAGGGAAGUGGAAUUUCCGGUGUAGCGGUGAAAUGCGUAGAUAUCAGGAGGAACACCGGUGGUGUAGACGGCUUUCUGGACCGUAACUGACGCUGAGACACGAAAGCGUGGGUAGCAAACAGG
rnacentral:rRNA from 1 species